rnacentral:rRNA from 1 species
GAUGAACGCUGGCGGCGUGCUUAACACAUGCAAGUCGAACGGACUUAUUCUUUGGGAAGCGAUUAGUUUACUAAGCGUGGAACUGUGAAUAAGUUAGUGGCGGACGGGUGAGUAACGCGUGGGCAACCUGCCUUGCACUGGGGGAUAACAGUUGGAAACGGCUGCUAAUACCGCAUAAGCGCACGCUACCGCAUGGUAGUGUGUGAAAAACUCCGGUGGUGUAAGAUGGGCCCGCGUCUGAUUAGUUAGUUGGCAGGGUAAUGGCCUACCAAGACGAUGAUCAGUAGCCGGCUUGAGAGAGUGAACGGCCACAUUGGGACUGAGAAACGGUCCAGACUCCUACGGGAGGCAGCAGUAGGGAAUAUUGGUCAAUGGGGGAAACCCUGACCCAGCAACGCCGCGUGAAGGAAGAAGGUUUUCGGAUCGUAAACUUCUAUCCUAGGUGAAGAUAAUGACGGUAGCCUAGAAGGAAGCCCCGGCUAACUACGUGCCAGCAGCCGCGGUAAUACGUAGGGGGCGAGCGUUGUCCGGAAUUACUGGGCGUAAAGGGUGCGUAGGCGGCAAUUUAAGUUGGAUGUGAAAUACCCGGGCUUAACCUGGGGGGUGCAUCCAAAACUGGAGAGCUAGAGUGCAGGAGAGGGAAGCGGAAUUCCUAGUGUAGCGGUGAAAUGCGUAGAUAUUAGGAGGAACACCAGUGGCGAAGGCGGCUCACAAAGCUAUAACUGACGCUGAGGCACGAAAGCGUGGGGAUCAAACAGGAUUAGAUACCCUGGUAGUCCACGCCGUAAACGAUGAUAACUCGUUGCAGGCGAUAUACGGUCUGUGACUUAGCGAAAGCGUUAAGUUAUCCACCUGGGGAGUACGUUCGUAAGAAUG